AACGAACGCUGGCGGCAUGCCUAACACAUGCAAGUCGAACGAGACCUUCGGGUCUAGUGGCGCACGGGUGCGUAACGCGUGGGAACCUGCCCUUAGGUUCGGAAUAACUCCCCGAAAGGGGUGCUAAUACCGGAUAAUGUCUUCGGACCAAAGAUUUAUCGCCCUUGGAUGGGCCCGCGUUGGAGUAGCUAGUUGGUACGGUAAUAGCCUACCAAGGCGACGAUGGAUAGCUGGGCUGAGAGGGUGAUUAGCCACCCGGGGACUGAGACACGGCCCAGACUCCUAGGGUAGGAAGCGGUAGGGACUCUUCCGCGAUGCGCGAAGGCGGGAUGGAGCAACGCCGCGUGAGUGAUGAAGGUCUUCGGAUCGUAGAACGCUGAUAUUAGUGAAGAACAAAUGCGUAAGUAACCGUGCACAUCUUGACGGUACCUAAACAGAAAGCCCCGGCUAACUACGUG
rnacentral:rRNA from 1 species